rnacentral:rRNA from 1 species
ACGGCUCAGUAACACGUAGGUAACCUACCCUUCGGACGGGCACAACCCCGGGAAACUGGGGCUAAUUCCCGAUAGGUACCCCCUUCUGGAAUGUGGGGAUAUCCAAAGCUCCGGCGCCGAAGGAUGGGCCUGCGGCCGAUUAGGUUGUUGGCGGGGUAACAGCCCACCAAGCCGACGAUCGGUACGGGCAGUGAGAGCUGUAGCCCGGAGAUGGGGACUGAGACAAGGCCCCAGGCCCUACGGGGCGCAGCAGGCGCGAAACCUUCACAAUGCACGAAAGUGUGAUGAGGGUACUCCGAGUGCGCAUACAUUGUAUGUGCUUUUCUGCAGCGCAAAUAGUUGCAGGAAUAAGGGCUGGGCAAGACCGGUGCCAGCCGCCGCGGUAACACCGGCAGCCCUAGUGGUGGCCGCUUUUACUGGGCCUAAAGCGUCCGUAGCCGGACAGGCGAGUCUUUGGGUAAAUCCUACGUCUUAAGCGUGGGAAUUCUAAAGAUACUACCUGUCUUGAGGCCGGGAGAGGCUGGAGGUACUCCUGGGGUAGGGGUAAAAUCCUAUAAUCCUGGGGGGACCACCGAUGGCGAAGGCAUCCAGCUGGAACGGGCCUGACGGUGAGGGACGAAACCCAGGGGAGCGAGCCGGAUUAGAUACCCGGGUAGUCCUGGGCGUAAAUGAUGUGGGCUUGGUGUGAGCGCAUCGACGAGGUGCGCUUGUGCCGUAGGGAAGCCGUUAAGCCCACCGCCUGGGGAGUACGGUCGCAAGGCUGAAACUUAAAGGAAUUGGCGGGGGAG